UUAAGCGACUAAGCGUACACGGUGGAUGCCCUGGCAGUCAGAGGCGAUGAAGGACGUGCUAAUCUGCGAAAAGCGUCGGUAAGGUGAUAUGAACCGUUACAGCCGGCGAUGUCCGAAUGGGGAAACCCAGUGCAAUUCGUUGCACUAUCGUUAACUGAAUACAUAGGUUAACGAGGCGAACCGGGGGAACUGAAACAUCUAAGUACCCCGAGGAAAAGAAAUCAACCGAGAUUCCCCCAGUAGCGGCGAGCGAACGGGGAGCAGCCCGGAGUCUGAAUCAGCUUGUGUGUUAGUGGAAGCGUCUGGAAAGUCGCAGGGUACAGGGUGAUACUCCCGUACACUAAAACACACAGGCUGUGAACUCGAAGAGUAGGGCGGGACACGUGGUAUCCUGUCUGAAUAUGGGGGGACCAUCCUCCAAGGCUAAAUACUCCUGACUGACCGAUAGUGAACCAGUACCGUGAGGGAAAGGCGAAAAGAACCCCGGCGAGGGGAGUGAAAAAGAACCUGAAACCGUGUACGUACAAGCAGUAGGAGCCCACUAGUUGGGUGACUGCGUACCUUUUGUAUAAUGGGUCAGCGACUUAUAUUCUGUAGCAAGGUUAACCGUAUAGGGGAGCCGCAGGGAAACCGAGUCUUAACUGGGCGUUAAGUUGCAGGGUAUAGACCCGAAACCCGGUGAUCUAGCCAUGGGCAGGUUGAAGGUUGGGUAACACUAACUGGAGGACCGAACCGACUAAUGUUGAAAAAUUAGCGGAUGACUUGUGGCUGGGGGUGAAAGGCCAAUCAAACCGGGAGAUAGCUGGUUCUCCCCGAAAGCUAUUUAGGUAGCGCCUCGUGAAUUCAUCUUCGGGGGUAGAGCACUGUUUCGGCUAGGGGGUCAUCCCGACUUACCAACCCGAUGCAAACUACGAAUACCGAAGAAUGUUAUCACGGGAGACACACGGCGGGUGCUAACGUCCGUCGUGAAGAGGGAAACAACCCAGACCGCCAGCUAAGGUCCCAAAGUCAUGGUUAAGUGGGAAACGAUGUGGGAAGGCCCAGACAGCCAGGAUGUUGGCUUAGAAGCAGCCAUCAUUUAAAGAAAGCGUAAUAGCUCACUGGUCGAGUCGGCCUGCGCGGAAGAUGUAACGGGGCUAAACCAUGCACCGAAGCUGCGGCAGCGACACUAUGUGUUGUUGGGUAGGGGAGCGUUCUGUAAGCCGUUGAAGGUGGCCUGUGAGGGUUGCUGGAGGUAUCAGAAGUGCGAAUGCUGACAUAAGUAACGAUAAUGCGGGUGAAAAACCCGCACGCCGGAAGACCAAGGGUUCCUGUCCAACGUUAAUCGGGGCAGGGUGAGUCGACCCCUAAGGCGAGGCCGAAAGGCGUAGUCGAUGGGAAACAGGUUAAUAUUCCUGUACUUGGUGUUACUGCGAAGGGGGGACGGAGAAGGCUAUGUUGGCCGGGCGACGGUUGUCCCGGUUUAAGCAUGUAGGCGGAUGUUCCAGGUAAAUCCGGAGCGUCACUAACGCUGAGGUGUGAUGACGAGGCACUACGGUGCUGAAGUGACAAAUGCCCUGCUUCCAGGAAAAGCCUCUAAGCAUCAGGUAACAUCAAAUCGUACCCCAAACCGACACAGGUGGUCAGGUAGAGAAUACCAAGGCGCUUGAGAGAACUCGGGUGAAGGAACUAGGCAAAAUGGUGCCGUAACUUCGGGAGAAGGCACGCUGAUGGUAGGUGAAGUGACUUGCUCAUGGAGCUGAAAUCAGUCGAAGAUACCAGCUGGCUGCAACUGUUUAUUAAAAACACAGCACUGUGCAAACACGAAAGUGGACGUAUACGGUGUGACGCCUGCCCGGUGCCGGAAGGUUAAUUGAUGGGGUUAUCCUCGCGGAGAAGCUCUUGAUCGAAGCCCCGGUAAACGGCGGCCGUAACUAUAACGGUCCUAAGGUAGCGAAAUUCCUUGUCGGGUAAGUUCCGACCUGCACGAAUGGCGUAAUGAUGGCCAGGCUGUCUCCACCCGAGACUCAGUGAAAUUGAACUCGCUGUGAAGAUGCAGUGUACCCGCGGCAAGACGGAAAGACCCCGUGAACCUUUACUAUAGCUUGACACUGAACACUGGUCCUUGAUGUGUAGGAUAGGUGGGAGGCUUUGAAGUGUGGACGCCAGUCUGCAUGGAGCCAUCCUUGAAAUACCACCCUUUAAUGGCUGGUGUUCUAACGUGGGCCCGUGAUCCGGGUUGCGGACAGUGUCUGGUGGGUAGUUUGACUGGGGCGGUCUCCUCCUAAAGAGUAACGGAGGAGCACGAAGGUCAGCUAAUCCUGGUCGGACAUCAGGAGGUUAGUGCAAUGGCAUAAGCUGGCUUGACUGCGAGCGUGACGGCGCGAGCAGGUGCGAAAGCAGGUCAUAGUGAUCCGGUGGUUCUGAAUGGAAGGGCCAUCGCUCAACGGAUAAAAGGUACUCCGGGGAUAACAGGCUGAUACCGCCCAAGAGUUCAUAUCGACGGCGGUGUUUGGCACCUCGAUGUCGGCUCAUCACAUCCUGGGGCUGAAGUAGGUCCCAAGGGUAUGGCUGUUCGCCAUUUAAAGUGGUACGCGAGCUGGGUUUAGAACGUCGUGAGACAGUUCGGUCCCUAUCUGCCGUGGGCGCUGGAGAAUUGAGGGGGGCUGCUCCUAGUACGAGAGGACCGGAGUGGACGCAUCACUGGUGUUCGGGUUGUCAUGCCAAUGGCAUUGCCCGGUAGCUAAAUGCGGAAGAGAUAAGUGCUGAAAGCAUCUAAGCACGAAACUUGCCCCGAGAUGAGUUCUCCCUGACUCCUUGAGAGUCCUGAAGGAACGUUGAAGACGACGACGUUGAUAGGCCGGGUGUGUAAGCGCAGCGAUGCGUUGAGCUAACCGGUACUAAUGAACCGUGAGGCUUAACCUU
rnacentral:rRNA from 1 species